rnacentral:rRNA from 1 species
UACGGGGGGAGCAAGCGUUGUUCGGAUUUACUGGGCGUAAAGGGUGCGUAGGCGGGUUCUUAAGUCAGAGGUGAAAUCCUGGAGCUCAACUCCAGAACUGCCUUUGAUACUGAGAGUCUUGAGUUCGGGAGAGGUGAGUGGAACUGCGAGUGUAGAGGUGAAAUUCGUAGAUAUUCGCAAGAACACCAGUGGCGAAGGCGGCUCACUGGCCCGAUACUGACGCUGAGGCACGAAAGCGUGGGGAGCAAACAGG